ACUGAAUGUCUGCAGAGACCGGCCAGAUGAGGGGAUGAUGGAGUUGCCUGCUUGACUCGUUCCUGUACUUUUAUCCCAACAAAACAUGACACACACCGAGAUGUGAAAGCUGUCGACUUUUCUUUGUAAAUGUUUCUACCCAGGAAGACAUGAUUUCACCCACCAUGAAGCCUUCUGGAAGCACAUUCCUCUGACGCUGCAGCAGCGGUAAGAAGGAAAGAUGGAAAAGAGAAGUUAUCAUUUCUUUCUCAAGAUCCUGGCCCCAUGAGCCUCAGUGUAGCCCUAGUUCCUGGGAUCAGCACCAACAGGCAGGGAGGAGAGGCUCUGGCGCCCUGCAGACAGCACCAGGUUCUUGGCAUCAGGAGCUGGAUACAGAGUCCCUGAUAAUCCCAGCCACAGAAUAUUUCAAACUCACCGACAUGUCCUCUAAAUAUCAGAUAUGAAAAGGCUUCCACUCUUGCACCUGUCUUGCUAUUAUUUUACAGAUGUGUUCUAAAAGCUAUAAAGACGGAAAUCACUAUUAGUGUGUCACUUAUGUGAUAUUCAGACACCUGAGCUCUGUGAUGAUUUUAAUGCCCCACAGGUCUUUCAGAAAUCCACCUCAUAUACCUCAGAACGCCCCUCCAUCUGCAAGGGAACGCAUGUGGAACAGGUGGAGAAGGAAUUCUUUUAGGCCCAUGGGUAGAAUUGUAAGGACUCUUGUAAAUGCUUCUUCUGUAGUAGAGAAGCUGGACGGUAUGUGUGUGUGCUUAUGCGUGUUUGAAUGGACGCAGGAAAAAUCAAUAAUCUGCUUGCAUCAACACCUAAAUAAAACCAAAAUAAUCCCAUGAUUUGCCUAAAACCAAAUUAAUCUCUAGGAAAAGCCUGCUGUGACAGAGUUGUGUGGGGGCGGGAAUUACAAAAGAAACGCAGAAUUUCCCCGAGCUUCCGCUUUGCAGGAAUCUCUGUUCCGUUACUCACUAUUUUGAGAGAGCCCUGCUUCUUCCUCCUUCUCCCCACCACACGUCAAUGUCAUUUUCACAGGGGGGAGGCUACAGGAAGCACACAUCUGCAGUGUGUCACCUCCCGAGGCUGACAGAUCU
rnacentral:lncRNA from 1 species